UUUCAUUUUAUUUUGGAAUUUUAGAUACACACCAAACACCUAAAGCCAAUCUCCAAGCUCUAUCUGUUCUCUUUCCAUCCUCACUUCGCUCCUAAUUCAUGCGAGGGUUAAUCACUUCCACUGAUUUUUGAUUUACCUCACUUUGUUUUAAUUUUUCAUGCGAGGGUUAGUCUCUCUGCAGCGGAACUAAUUUAGGGUCUAUUCCUUAUCUCUAUUCAUUUUGUUUUAAUUAGGGUUUUUUUUAUUUUUUGUUUUUCGGUUACAACCUAACCAAAAGAAACCUAAUUUUCUCUGUUCUCCUUCAAUCUCUUUCCCUCUUGUGAUUCCUUUAAAAGGACGCUUAAUUGAGUUGUUGCAUCGUUCUUAACAGGACCAGGCCUUGAACUGAUUUUUGAUUUAUCUCAUUGUAGUAAGAUUAUAUGUCUGCAUUUGUACCAGCAUGGGCUUAACUUGAAUGUUGUCAUAGUGUUAGUUCAUCCAAAUUUAUUUAUGUAAAACACUCGAAAGAAUAGCAUAUCUGUAGAUGCAUCUAAACGAAUAUGGGUGGCUUCUGUUUUCAUCAUCUUUGCAUGUUCAUAUUCACAUUCUUUGAUUCCUUCUUUUUCCAUCUUAAGGUGCUUUCUUCAUUUCUCUUUAAAUAUUGAAUUUGUAAUCUUUGUUAAAUUUCGGGACAAUUAUGAACAGAAAUAAUUGUACUGUUGAACAAUUUAAUUGCAGCACAUUAGCAGACACUCCGAACAAUUCGCUUUACUUGAAACAAGCAGCCGACCCUUGCGACAGUGAAGCAAUUAAGAUGCUACAGGAUGAGGAUAGCCAAGAAAUUAAUUAGUGCACUAAGAGGAGGAUGAGAUUUUAAUGGAGAUAAUGUGACUGAGAAGGAUGCAAGCGAAGUCUUCUUAACUAAUUAAGAAUUUAACUGCAGCAGUGGAAGCCUAGGUAUGGGCAGUGCAAAAGUACAAGACGUCCUACGAAAUUCGUAGGACACCGGUGAAAGUUGGAAUUUGAACUGCCCCUCGAUUGCGUGAAGUGUAGGGAUAACAAACAGAGUAAAUAAGGGAUCUGUGAAAUGUCCCUUGACUUCUGAAAUGCAGGGGUAAAAAAAAAAGAGUUAAUAAGAGAUCUUUGAAUUUUCCCUUAACUGCGUGAAAUGCAGGUAUAUACCAACAAAAAAAAUACAGCGAAACAGAUAGAUUUAAUGCUACUAUUAAGUUAGUAUUUACUACUGAGAUGUUAGUGUUUUAGCUGAAUGCAACGCGAGCGCAUGGGGAUUUAUGAAGAGUGAGCCAGAUUUUUGUUAGGAUUACAGAUCAUACAAAAUGGACAUGGGAGUUCAGUAGGAAACAAUACUUCAUUUGUCGUUUAGGAAUAGGGAUUAAGGUCACAAGCAGCAGUUGAUUUCGUGACGAACAAAAGAGGUACUGCCAACUAUAAGCUUCUCCAAUGGUCGGCAUGUAUGAGGUUCGUAGUAUUCUUAAUUCGGAAUCCUGCUGGUAGGUGUCUCUAAAUCGUUGGUUUACGCAUUGUUGCCUUGAACUGAAUUUCUAUUAGUCCAAUCUUGAGUUCAUGCCACAAUUGCUAUUUUGUAAUUUAUCAGUUGUUCAGGCUUGAGAAGAUCAUACUAAUCCUCUUCGGAAUCAGGAUGUGGGGUGAUUACAAAGUUUCGGUUCGUGGGGAUUGACUUGGAGAAUGAGAAUCAAGAUACUAUGUGAUUUUCGAAACUCCAUUGUGGGAUAUGAUUGCCAGUGUAUUUGAGUUUCCAAAAUGAUAACUAUAUUUCACCAUUGGUCGACGCAAGCGAAGAUGAAGAACAUGGUUAGGAGAGUGAUGUCGAUAUUCCACCAUUGGUCGACGUGAAGAUGAAGAACAGGGGGAGGAGAGUCACCAUUGGUUGACGCGAGUGAAGAUGAAUAACAACGCGAGGAGAACAUUGAAAUUGAAGAACCUAAUGAGUAAGUUGAUGAAAUUUUGACUUUUGAGAGGAUUAUAGAUAUUUUGUAAUUUUUCCUUACAUUGGUUGAGGUCUGUUUAUAACAACUAUGGGUCGAGGAACAGAAAUUUUUUUAAUAACAACAAAUUAUGUUGAAUAUAAGUACUUU